rnacentral:rRNA from 1 species
GAUGAACGCUAGCGGCAGGCCUAAUACAUGCAAGUCGAACGGUAAAUAUUGUAGCAAUACAAUAUGAGAGUGACGCACGGGUGCGUAACACGUAUGCAACCUACCCUUUGACAGGGGUAUAGCUCGGGGAAACUCGAAUUAACACCCCAUGAUAUAAUUGAAUGGCAUCAUUUGACUUGAUUAAAUCUGCGGAGGUAAAGGAUGGGGCAUGCGUCUGAUUAGCUAGUUGGUAGUGUAACGGACUACCAAGGCGAUGAUCAGUAGGGGAACUGAGAGGUUGAUCUCCCACACUGGCACUGAGAUACGGGCCAGACUCCUACGGGAGGCAGCAGUAGGAAUAUUGGUCAAUGGGUGAGAGCCUGAACCAGCCAUGCCGCGUGCAGGAAGACGGCCUU